CCGAAGUCAUUACCUCAACCGCAAGGAGGGGGAUGCCUAAGGCAGGGCUAGUGACUGGGGUGAAGUCGUAACAAGGUAGCCGUACCGGAAGGUGUGGCUGGAUCACCUCCUUAAAGGGAGACCUAAUUCCAGUAGGAGACGAAAAAAAAGUAGUCCCUACCAAGAAUCAAUCCCAAAAGGUCGGAGCGAGGCAAAAUUGGCUUUCAAACUAGGUUCUGGGUUCACACAAGACCUGAAUCAGGAACAAGGGCUAUUAGCUCAGGUGGUUAGAGCGCACCCCUGAUAAGGGUGAGGUCCCUGGUUCGAGUCCAGGAUGGCCCACCUGCACAGGUGGAAGAAAGAAAAGAAGCUCCGAAUCAGCACCUUAUCUUACUUAUAUAGUAAGAGAGAAAUGCUGGCUUCUGAGUACAGAGUCCAGAGGAACCUUGAAAACUGCAUAGAGCUAGGUGAAAAAGCCAAAAAAGAAGACCGCAAGGUC
rnacentral:misc_RNA from 1 species